AACUUUUAACAAUGGAUCUCUAGGCUCUCAUAUCGAUGAAGAACACAGUGAAAUGUGAUAAGUAAUGUGAAUUGCAGAAUUCAGUGAAUCAUUGAAUCUUUGAACGCACCUUGCACCUUUUGGUAUUCCAAAAGGUACACCUGUUUGAGUGUCAUGAAA
rnacentral:rRNA from 1 species